CNACCUGCCGACAACACUGGGAUAGCCUUUCGAAAGAAAGAUUAAUACCGGAUGGCAUAAUUAUUNCNNAUGGGAUAAUUAUUAAAGAAUUUCGGUUGUCGAUGGGGAUGCGUUCCAUUAGGCAGUUGGCGGGGUAACGGCCCACCAAACCUACGAUGGAUAGGGGUUCUGAGAGGAAGGUCCCCCACAUUGGAACUGAGACACGGUCCAAACUCCUACGGGAGGCAGCAGUGAGGAAUAUUGGUCAAUGGACGAGAGUCUGAACCAGCCAAGUAGCGUGAAGGAUGACUGCCCUAUGGGUUGUAAACUUCUUUUAUACGGGAAUAAAGUUAGCCACGUGUGGCUUUUUGUAUGUACCGUAUGAAUAAGGAUCGGCUAACUCCGUGCCAGCAGCCGCGGUAAUACGGAGGAUCCGAGCGUUAUCCGGAUUUAUUGGGUUUAAAGGGAGCGUAGGCGGGUUGUUAAGUCAGUUGUGAAAGUUUGCGGCUCAACCGUAAAAUUGCAGUUGGUACUGGCGACCUUGAGUGCAACAGAGGUAGGCGGAAUUCGUGGUGUAGCGGUGAAAUGCUUAGAUAUCACGAAGAACUCCGAUUG
rnacentral:rRNA from 1 species